GGGAGCCGAGGAUCUCCGGCUCCCAGAGCACAUGACCCCUGCAGGGAAUUUUGCCUCCCUGCACCUGCAGGCUCUUGUCAUCCCUCCUCUUCUGCUCCUGGUUUUCUUUUUAAUCCUCUCAUUUCCCCCGCUCUCCACACACUAUCCCCCCCUUCAUUCCCCCCCCCCCCCCCCCGCCACAUCCAUUCAGCUUUUACCUCCUCCCCCCCCCCCUUUUUUUUUUUUUAAACCAGAAAGAAUCCCAGCAGAGGAAAAUAACAUCAAUCAGCUCCCUCCUUCCUUCCCCCCCCCCCCCCAAUAAAAAAGAAAAAAAAAACACCACCUGCCAACAUUUGGAAAAGCAACAGCGGACUAUUACCUCUAUCUUUAAUUUUCACUCACACUCAGAUGAAUGAGCAAGGAAGGGGGAGACCUCAACAGCCCCUCUAGACAUGGGGCUGAAUUGAUGGGAUUGUGAUUUGUAGGAUUUCUCCACUUAGUCCCUGCCUCCUACUUGCUCUCCAGCCACUCCAAAGUCUCUUCCCCUCUCUUUAAGCAGCGAUUUCUUUCAAUCUCUCUCUCUUCCUCUCUGUGUCUCUCUCCCUCACACUCUCCCUCUCUCUCUACAUACACUCAUCUCCCCGGAGAGAGAGAGAGGAGAAACUCAACUCCCAAACACCGACCAGAUGUCGAAGAAACGCAAAGCCCUGGAGGGCGGCGGAGCCCCGCUCCCCCCCGAGGACCCCAGAGCCUGCUUUGGGGCCGGCGAGGAGCAAGGUGUACACAGAGCAGAGAGGGAUGGAAUGGAUGUGUUCUCCAACAUGGAGUCUGUGGCCCUUUUUGUAAAUGAUGUGAAGGAUCCUAAUGUCACAAAACACCCACAUCAUGAAAUUCCCUUACCACUAUGGAUGUUUCUGCUUUUUGGAAGGAAAUGUUUCCAGCACAGUGGUUGGUGUGUUCUUCUGGUUUCAUUAGAAAGGAGCACUGAAAUUCACCAUUUCUCUUAAAAGAUAUGGUUUAGGGUUUAUGUGGUUGUUGGUUUUUAAUUGCUUGGCUCUCUCACAAGAAAAUAACAUGUUCAUAUUUUCUUGCCAUUUCUCUGCUUGAGACUAAUCUUGACAUGGGAGGGACAUUUUCAGACCCUGUCAAUGACUUUAUAUGCAUGACAGCAUUCAAUGUUUUUGCAAUGUGGAAUUUUGCUAUUACUAACCUGGAAAAUCUUACCUCUUUGUCAGCAAUAGAGGAGGUUAAAUACAGAAAGGACAUUCAGCAGAGAUUCAGCAUUCAGAAAGUUUGGUAUAGAUUACAUGCAAUUUUAAUCUAAAUGUAUGCCAGUAGUGGGUAUAGAAGCACCUUACACGUUAUUGUGAUGCAGAGAUUUUUGCCUGGUUAGAAUUUUUUUUAAGUGCUUUUUUUUUAAACUCCACAAUAAUAUUUUCUGUAACACUUCUGGUUAUAUAACAAGAAACAGAAAACAUAAUAUAACUUUAACACAGGAUUGUUUUUUUCCUUGAUUUCAGUAUGCACAAAACAAAUGAAAUGGAAAGUGAAAAAAGACUUAAUAAAGUAUUGAUGUGUAUCUAAAGGGAGUAAAUGAGGUAUCAUUUUCCUCAUAAGGGGACACAAUGUAUUUUGUAAAUCAGACUGAUUAAAAACUUGUGUUUUGCACCUAGAUAAUCUAGGCUCAUGUCUUUUCUGACACAGUAAAUGAUGAAAUAAGGUUAAAAAAUAUAAUUUUAUUUCUGAGCUUAAAUAUAUUUUUGUGAACUUCUGUUUAUUUUCUUCCUCCCAUUUUACAAGAAGGAAUGUUGCUUGUUAAUUACAUUGUCUGUGACUAUGUAACUGUAGAAACCAUUAAGAGUGUGCAAUGUAUCACAGUCUUGUAGGGAAUGUAUUUUUGUGUAAAAUGUGGGUGUGAGACUUUCUAAAGGCAUGAGAUGGGAAGGGGUUUUUUUUGAUUAAUCUUAAGCAUCUGACUAAGAAGCAUUGUGCUCUUACAGGAGGUUUACUACCUCUGUGGAUAAGGCAUACUCACUAAGGUUGGAGGGCAAGUGUGUGGUGUUUGCCUAGAAGUACGGAGAAACCCUGUAACACCUGGGGUUUAGCAUUAAAGCGUGUGUGCGUU
ensembl:lncRNA